UACGUAGGCAGCGAGCGUUGUUCGGAGUUACUGGGCGUAAAGGGUGCGUAGGCGGUCCCUUAAGUUUGGUGUGAAAUCUCCCGGCUCAACUGGGAGGGUGCGCCGGAUACUGAGGGGCUAGAGUACGGGAGAGGAAAGUGGAAUUCCUGGUGUAGCGGUGAAAUGCGUAGAUAUCAGGAGGAACACCGGUGGUGUAAACGGCUUUCUGGACCGUAACUGACGCUGAGGCACGAAAGCGUGGGGAGCAAACAGG
rnacentral:rRNA from 1 species